rnacentral:rRNA from 1 species
AUUGAACGCUGGCGGCAUGCCUUACACAUGCAAGUCGAACGGCAGCAUGAUCUAGCUUGCUAGAUUGAUGGCGAGUGGCGAACGGGUGAGUAAUACAUCGGAACGUGCCCUGUAGUGGGGGAUAACUAGUCGAAAGAUUAGCUAAUACCGCAUACGACCUGAGGGUGAAAGUGGGGGACCGCAAGGCCUCAUGCUAUAGGAGCGGCCGAUGUCUGAUUAGCUAGUUGGUGAGGUAAAGGCUCACCAAGGCGACGAUCAGUAGCUGGUCCGAGAGGACGAUCAGCCACACUGGGACUGAGACACGGCCCAGACUCCUACGGGAGGCAGCAGUGGGGAAUUUUGGACAAUGGGCGAAAGCCUGAUCCAGCAAUGCCGCGUGUGUGAAGAAGGCCUUCGGGUUGUAAAGCACUUUUGUCCGGAAAGAAAUGGCUCUGGUUAAUACCUGGGGUCGAUGACGGUACCGGAAGAAUAAGGACCGGCUAACUACGUG